AUCAUCAGAGUUAGUCUCAGUCCAUCAGGACAAGGAUUGGUCUUCAUUCACAUCUAAGAAUCACUUCAAGGAUCAUAAGUGUGCUGUAAUAGCUGUGCUUCAAGUAACUAGUUGUUAAUAGUGACAUCUGGUAUGAAGUAAAACAGUUCCAUCAUUACAUGAUUUUUAAUGUUAAUAUAAAUGUUAAUCACAACAGUUGUCUUUGUUAACGGCCAAACAGUUUUAAAUUAUUGUUUAUGUAUUACGUAUAUACUCUUUAUAAUAAAAUAUCUGUAAAUACAUGAAACGUCAUGCAUACAAAUGUAAUGUAGUGAUAAAAACAUAAAUAACUGUAGCAACAAUGUCAGUUAUGUUUUUCAUAAUUAUGAAUAUCAAAUAAAA